ensembl:lncRNA
CGGCGGUCGCGCGCCUGGCCCGGGCUCGCACCCACGUCCGGAGACCGCGGGGUUCUGCUGUGUGCUCGCCCAGCGGAGCGGAGCGGAGCGGAGCCCGGUGCUCGAGGAACUUGCUUGGACAGUCUCUAAGCUAUUCUGAUUUGUAAGAACAUCUCCCCCUCCUCAGUAGUCAGAGAGAAAGCUUUCAGGCCUCUGUAUCCUUUAGUAGAGACACACCCAUCUAUCUGCCCAUUACAUUCCUCUCCUGAUGAUAUGCCUAUUCAAGACAAGGCUCUGACAACCUCCUUCAUGGUGUCAUCUCAUCUACGUUAAUUAGACCACUUCCAGAAGACAGGAUUGCAUCUCAUGAGUAAGUGUAUACCCAUCUGUUUUAAGCUUAAGCAGUACUUAUUACCACUAGAACUUUCUCCUUUAGCAAGGUAGUAUUUACUGGUGUUUCAGCUCUAUUUUUUACUGAACAGUGAGAUUAGCUGCUAUUGUAUGACUUGGUGUGGGCUAAAGCAUUUUCAUCCACUAGUCUGAAAGUGAUUAAAAAUGUAAGCACAAAUUCCCUUAGCACUGUUGUUAUUAUUCUUAUUUUAGAAACAAGUAACUUCCUUCUUUUGGCAAAAGAUAGGAUGUGACCACUGGCACUUAAAGGAAGUGAUUCAAUACAGUCAGGUCCUCGGGAGACAAUGGCAUUUUGCUGGG